GCUUGGAUGGCUCAGUUGGUUAGAGCGCAGGUCUCAUAUUCGCUUAUGAGUGACCAAAUGGUCAUUAAUCCUGAGGUCGUGAGUUCGAUCCUCACUCCGAGCA